rnacentral:rRNA from 1 species
GACGAACGCUGGCGGCGUGCUUAACACAUGCAAGUCGAGCGGUAAGGCCCUUUCGGGGGUACACGAGCGGCGAACGGGUGAGUAACACGUGGGUGACCUGCCCUCAGCUCUGGGAUAAGCCUGGGAAACCGGGUCUAAUACUGGAUAUGACUUCCAUGACGCAUGUUGUGGGGUGGAAAGCCUUGUGCGGCUGAGGAUGGGCCCGCGGCCUAUCAGCUUGUUGGUGGGGUGAUGGCCUACCAAGGCGACGACGGGUAGCCGGCCUGAGAGGGCGACCGGCCACACUGGGACUGAGACAC